rnacentral:rRNA from 1 species
UACUGCUAUCGAGAUUCGACUAAGCCAUGCGAGUCGAAUGUUCUUCGUGAACAUGGCGGACUGCUCAGUAACACGUGGACAACCUACCCUCGGGUCCGGCAUAAUCCUGGGAAACUGGGGAUAAUUCCGGAUAGGUCACCGAUGCUGGAAUGCACAGUGGCCCAAAGCUCCGGCGCCCGAGGAUGGGUCUGCGGCCUAUCAGGGUUGUAGUGGGUGUAACGUACCUACUAGCCUACGACGGGUACGGGUUGUGAGAGCAAGAGCCCGGAGAUGGAUUCUGAGACACGAAUCCAGGCCCUACGGGGUGCAGCAGGCGCGAAAACUUUACAAUGCGGGAAACCGUGAUAAGGGAAUCUCGAGUGCCAGCAUAUAAUGUUGGCUGUCCAGAUGCCUAACAAGCAUCUGUUAGCAAGGGCCGGGCAAGACCGGUGCCAGCCGCCGCGGUAACACCGGCGGCCCGAGUGGUAACCGCUAUUAUUGGGUCUAAAGGGUCUGUAGCCGG